CCCCUCUCAGGGUCGAACCUGGAGAGUUUCCAAUACUCUACCAGUCUCAACUAUGGAAGGGAGAGUCAAGCAGAGGCAUAUCCAUUCCAUUCCUAGCCUGGCCAGUGGCUAGUGAGUGGAAGGCAAUCUGCUACAAGU
rfam:Ornithorhynchus anatinus chromosome X5, whole genome shotgun sequence.